rnacentral:rRNA from 1 species
AGCGUACACGGUGGAUGCCCUGGCAGUCAGAGGCGAUGAAGGACGUGCUAAUCUGCGAAAAGCGUCGGUAAGGUGAUAUGAACCGUUACAGCCGGCGAUGUCCGAAUGGGGAAACCCAGUGUGAUUCGUCACACUAUCGUUAACUGAAUACAUAGGUUAACGAGGCGAACCGGGGGAACUGAAACAUCUAAGUACCCCGAGGAAAAGAAAUCAACCGAGAUUCCCCCAGUAGCGGCGAGCGAACGGGGAGCAGCCCAGAGUCUGAAUCAGCUUGUGUGUUAGUGGAACGGUCUGGAAAGUCCGACGGUACAGGGUGAUAGUCCCGUACACCAAAAUGCACAGGCUGUGAACUCGAAGAGUAGGGCGGGACACGUGGUAUCCUGUCUGAAUAUGGGGGGACCAUCCUCCAAGGCUAAAUACUCCUGACUGACCGAUAGUGAACCAGUACCGUGAGGGAAAGGCGAAAAGAACCCCGGCGAGGGGAGUGAAAAAGAACCUGAAACCGUGUACGUACAAGCAGUGGGAGCACCUUCGGGUGUGACUGCGUACCUUUUGUAUAAUGGGUCAGCGACUUAUAUUCUGUAGCAAGGUUAACCGUAUAGGGGAGCCGCAGGGAAACCGAGUCUUAACUGGGCGUUAAGUUGCAGGGUAUAGACCCGAAACCCGGUGAUCUAGCCAUGGGCAGGUUGAAGGUUGGGUAACACUAACUGGAGGACCGAACCGACUAAUGUUGAAAAAUUAGCGGAUGACUUGUGGCUGGGGGUGAAAGGCCAAUCAAACCGGGAGAUAGCUGGUUCUCCCCGAAAGCUAUUUAGGUAGCGCCUCGUGAAUUCAUCUUCGGGGGUAGAGCACUGUUUCGGCUAGGGGGUCAUCCCGACUUACCAACCCGAUGCAAACUACGAAUACCGAAGAAUGUUAUCACGGGAGACACACGGCGGGUGCUAACGUCCGUCGUGAAGAGGGAAACAACCCAGACCGCCAGCUAAGGUCCCAAAGUCACAGUUAAGUGGGAAACGAUGUGGGAAGGCACAGACAGCCAGGAUGUUGGCUUAGAAGCAGCCAUCAUUUAAAGAAAGCGUAAUAGCUCACUGGUCGAGUCGGCCUGCGCGGAAGAUGUAACGGGGCUAAACUGUGCACCGAAGCUGCGGCAGCGACACUAUGUGUUGUUGGGUAGGGGAGCGUUCUGUAAGCCUGCGAAGGUGGCCUGUGAGGGUUGCUGGAGGUAUCAGAAGUGCGAAUGCUGACAUAAGUAACGAUAAUGCGGGUGAAAAGCCCGCACGCCGGAAGACCAAGGGUUCCUGUCCAACGUUAAUCGGGGCAGGGUGAGUCGACCCCUAAGGCGAGGCCGAAAGGCGUAGUCGAUGGGAAACAGGUUAAUAUUCCUGUACUUGGUGUUACUGCGAAGGGGGGACGGAGAAGGCUAUGUUAGCCGGGCGACGGUUGUCCCGGUUUAAGCAUGUAGGCGGAGGUUCCAGGUAAAUCCGGUACCUUUUUAACGCUGAGGUGUGAUGACGAGGCACUACGGUGCUGAAGUAACAAAUGCCCUGCUUCCAGGAAAAGCCUCUAAGCAUCAGGUAACAUUAAAUCGUACCCCAAACCGACACAGGUGGUCAGGUAGAGAAUACCAAGGCGCUUGAGAGAACUCGGGUGAAGGAACUAGGCAAAAUGGUGCCGUAACUUCGGGAGAAGGCACGCUGAUAUGUAGGUGAAGCCCCUGCGGGUGGAGCUGAAAUCAGUCGAAGAUACCAGCUGGCUGCAACUGUUUAUUAAAAACACAGCACUGUGCAAACACGAAAGUGGACGUAUACGGUGUGACGCCUGCCCGGUGCCGGAAGGUUAAUUGAUGGGGUUAUCCGUAAGGAGAAGCUCUUGAUCGAAGCCCCGGUAAACGGCGGCCGUAACUAUAACGGUCCUAAGGUAGCGAAAUUCCUUGUCGGGUAAGUUCCGACCUGCACGAAUGGCGUAAUGAUGGCCAGGCUGUCUCCACCCGAGACUCAGUGAAAUUGAACUCGCUGUGAAGAUGCAGUGUACCCGCGGCAAGACGGAAAGACCCCGUGAACCUUUACUAUAGCUUGACACUGAACAUUGAGCCUUGAUGUGUAGGAUAGGUGGGAGGCUUUGAAGCGUGGACGCCAGUCUGCGUGGAGCCAACCUUGAAAUACCACCCUUUAAUGUUUGAUGUUCUAACGUUGGCCCCUUAUCGGGGUUGCGGACAGUGUCUGGUGGGUAGUUUGACUGGGGCGGUCUCCUCCCAAAGAGUAACGGAGGAGCACGAAGGUUAGCUAAUCCUGGUCGGACAUCAGGAGGUUAGUGCAAUGGCAUAAGCUAGCUUGACUGCGAGCGUGACGGCGCGAGCAGGUGCGAAAGCAGGUCAUAGUGAUCCGGUGGUUCUGAAUGGAAGGGCCAUCGCUCAACGGAUAAAAGGUACUCCGGGGAUAACAGGCUGAUACCGCCCAAGAGUUCAUAUCGACGGCGGUGUUUGGCACCUCGAUGUCGGCUCAUCACAUCCUGGGGCUGAAGUAGGUCCCAAGGGUAUGGCUGUUCGCCAUUUAAAGUGGUACGCGAGCUGGGUUUAGAACGUCGUGAGACAGUUCGGUCCCUAUCUGCCGUGGGCGCUGGAGAAUUGAGGGGGGCUGCUCCUAGUACGAGAGGACCGGAGUGGACGCAUCACUGGUGUUCGGGUUGUCAUGCCAAUGGCAUUGCCCGGUAGCUAAAUGCGGAAGAGAUAAGUGCUGAAAGCAUCUAAGCACGAAACUUGCCCCGAGAUGAGUUCUCCCUGACUCCUUGA